UACGGAAGGUCCGGGCGUUAUCCGGAUUUAUUGGGUUUAAAGGGAGCGUAGGCCGGAGAUUAAGCGUGUUGUGAAAUGUAGACGCUCAACGUCUGCACUGCAGCGCGAACUGGUCUUCUUGAGUACGCACAAAGUGGGCGGAAUUCGUGGUGUAGCGGUGAAAUGCUUAGAUAUCACGAAGAACUCCGAUUGCGAAGGCAGCUCACUGGAGCGCAACUGACGCUGAAGCUCGAAAGUGCGGGUAUCGAACAGG
rnacentral:rRNA from 1 species